CUUUGUAUUAAGUAUAAUCAGGUUUAAGGGAAUUAAAUCUAUUUACCUGAGUAAAGUCUGAUGGGCACUAAUAACAGAACUCAGGGCAGCAGGCAGCACUUUAGGAUCUGCUCCUAUGGGAAGGAAAAAUAGGAAGAACAUAAUUGUUCCUUUAAGAAAGGCCCCUAGAAUAGCACAUUAUUGAGUGUUAAGGCUGAUCCUAGCUCCCUUGAGUGGCUUAGGUCUUACUUAAAAGCUCCCUUCUUCAAAGCAGCCUCCUUGAAAGCAUCAGCUAAUUAAAGGUGAGGGCCACACUGGCUUCUCUAGAGAGAACAAGUGCGGCUGCUGUGUCUUAGAGACCUCGCCUGUUCUCAGAUUGUCAGCAAGACUCAAAUAUAGAACAAACAUGCUUAGCAAUAGCUCUUGCUCCAUUGAUAAGCCAUGUGUUAUACAUGAUCCCAGGGACUGGGAAGGGAUCAGACUAGGGGCCCCUCAGAUCCAUGCCUCUCUGCAUCCUCUUCCCAGCUGUGGGAUCCUGGGCUGGUAGCCUCUCUUAGGCUCAGUCUGGUCCCUAGUGCAAAACCAUCCACGCUCCCAAGGAGCUCCUUUGUCAGGCAAGCUCAGCAGAAGACCAGAACGGAAUGGGCCAUGGAACUGAAAUCCCUUCUCAUCUCAGAGAGGUCAUGGGUAAGAUACGCUGGUAUGGGGGAAAACUUUCAUUACCACUGCCUGGGCCAUCCCUGCCCUGUGGGUAGAGGGUCUGGUUCUCAGCUACACUCAUGCAUCAAUAGGGCCUAAAAGUAGGGGGAAAUUGGCCCAGAAUCUCCCCUGCAUAGGGGUGCCUUCAGGGGUGGUAGAGAUGCUCUGCACCCUCCCAGCUCCCAGGGUGCAUUGUACUGCAGCUAGUUCUGCUUCCCAGAGACCACAGAGGACCAGAAUAUGUUAAGUUUCAAGGAGGGCCCUGCAGAGGCCAUGAAUCUGAGCGUGCAAAGGUGGCGUGACAUAACCAUCCUUCCCCUACACUCCGUCCCUGCCCAAAUACGCGAACAGAGAAUACAGCCCACGCAGUCUCCAGGGCUCCUCCCCCCCCCCCCAGCACCCGGACACGUCUGCGUUACUGUGCACCCUGGCUUAAACUUCUGCACGCGCUGACCUAACAAGCACAGUCCAGCAUGGAGGAAACCUAUUGGCCAAUCUCGACCUACCACGGCUGCCAAAGGCCAACCUUUGCAUUGCUGAAGGGACAACACAAGCUUCAAGCCAAGUAACACAAACACACGGUGCAGUGGCGGUGCUGCUCUGCUGGACAAAUAAAAGCACCUGCUGAGCAGCAGGAAGUGGAGUGCAGGGGAAGGGAGCCUUGCCAAAUUAGCCACCAGAAAGUGAAAAGCUGGUAAACGAACACAGGACACAAACAAGGGCUGCAAAGGGAGAUAGCGAGCCGCCCUAUUAUCUGUAUUUUAGCAGCUUGGAUGCUGGGCCAGCAACAACCACUGCCCCAGCUACACUCUGACAAAAGGAUGUAGGGUGCUCUCAUCAGACUAAUGGAGAUGGACUCGCCUGGAAUGGUUUAAUAGAAGCAAAGGAAUCAGGAAAGCUCAGGAUCACUCAUCAUUCCGCACCCCCCCAAAAGAGAGCUGACUUGAUACACGUCCACCACCAAAUAUGAAGCCAUGGGCAAGUGCCCAUGCUAACUUCUGAACAGCUGGAGGCCAAGUCAACAGUCUGAGAUCAAUCACAACACAGCCCAGUGGGUUGCUUUCAGAUUCUGUAUUCACCUGUGUAUGGAACUGACCAACAACCCGUACUCUUCAGGAUCGCCUCAGCCCUGGAGGAAGCUAGACAAGAGAGGCACUUGUUGGGUGGUGGUUCUGCUUCCUACCAGAAGUUCUGACCCACAGCCCAUUGAAGUCAGCGACAAGAGUGCCGCUGGCCUUUGGUGAGCUUUGGAUCAAGUCAAUGGAGGGAGGUGGUAAAAUUAAACCUGCUAGAGAGGAGAUGCUGACGAGGUAUUAGUGCCUGUCCUACACACUCUCAAAACUCUAAGUACAUGGGAGGUUUCUAACAAGUCACCCCGGCAUCUGACAUUAGUCAAGUUGCUGGCAUGGGUUUCCUGGUGCAUCUCGGCCAGCAUCAGAAAGCUCCUCACCACAACUAGAGCAAGGUUGCCCCAAAAGGCAGGCCGACGGUCAUGCAAAACCCAGCACCAUCUCGGGGACAAAAUCUGAUUGACUGCAGGUCACUCAAGGGCCACAGGGUCCCAAAGGGUAACUGCGGCCAUCCAGGAAGGUAUGUGGAGCAAGGGGAGACAAAUGGUUGUGUGCAUUUCUUUUUGUUUUUCAAUAAGAGUGGUAUGCAAAUGUAGAUGCAAAUAAGGUAGCUGCAUUGGUUCCUGGAAAGCUACCCCGCUGGUCCUCAGGAGGGUGGAGUCAUCGUGAGGUUUGAGCACCCCUGAACUAGAGAACAGACAUACAAACACAGAAGAAUGAGGCCUUCCAACAUUUUCCAGUGGAGGGAAAGAUCUUUGUUAAUUUUUUUCUUUCAAUUUUGCUUUUACACUUUCAAAAACCAGACAGCAGAGACACAAGAGCCACCCCGCCCCCCGACCCCAAGGCUACAGUGCGAGAGAACUGUAGUGCUUGGGGAGAAAACUGCUUCUUGAAAGCUCCCCUUGGCAGGGUACACUAC